rnacentral:rRNA from 1 species
GUCUACAGCCAUACCACCCUGAAUGUGCCAGAUCUUGUCUGAUCUUGGAAGCUAAGCAGGGUUGGUCCUGGUUAGUACUUGGAAGGGAGAAUUUGAUUGGUAUUUGUGUCU